UCAAAACAAAAUCAAAAUUACAGAUGGGACCUUUGAUCUUUGCCGAAAUUUAGAUUCUUUUUAAUUUUUAUGGUGAAAAUAUCAUGAAAAUAGUAAGAUGUUAGCACAAAUGAUACUAAAGAAUAUCUGGGUAGCUUUUCAUUCUAGAACUGCCAGUGAGUCAGCUGGGUGCAGGCCAUCAUGCAUUGGUAGGAUGAACAUCCUGAAUGAAAAUCAGGUUUCCGUUGCAUACACAUUUGGCGAAUCAUAGUGGAGCUUUGUGCAAAGCGAAUGCCCUUACUAUAUACCCUUGGUACAAACAACUUUUGAACCGAACCAAUUCGAUGAUUGCAUAUUCCGAGACGGAUUCAUUUCGAAGCUGCCUAUGAGAGAUGGUAAUGCUGCUGGCUGCCCCACGAAAUAGAAGGAAUGAGACCAGAGUACUCGUCUUCCGCGCUGAAUGUUUCCUACAGAUGUGCUCUGAUGAUCCGGACUAUUUUCCACCAGAAUCCGAAGAGUUUGCCAUUCGCCAGCUUCACGACAUCAACUGAGAAUCAUCCCAGAUGCGUCCGUAGCUUCCAAGAACCCAUCAUCAGUGAAGAAAUUAAUCUGCCCUGGACGUGUAUACUAUGAUCUGAUCAAGGCACGCUGAGAAUGCAAACUUGACAGUGACAUCGCUAUCAGCCGAUUGGAACAGAUCUCUCCUUUCCCGUACGAUCUUAUCAGGGCUGAGUGUGCCAAGUAUCCUACGCUGAAUUUGAAGAUGGGCAAAAACAGGAGUUAUAAGUUUACCGGUACAAACGAGUAAAGCCAAGCGAUGCUCAAAGAAAUUACCUGUCGAGAAAUAAUUUACAUGGUGCCAUCAGAGAUCAAUAUUUCUUCUAAAUGGCUGUGAUGGACUGAAGAAAACCACCCCAAGAAUACCGAAGUGUCAUACUCCUCGGAUGAAUCGUUGAUCAUUCAGAAAAAUAAAAAAAUGUAUGCCACUAAUGUUUUCCAAGUAUCCUGUGUAUUUUUUGGUAAAACGUAAAUGUGAUUUAAAUCUUACAUGGAAUGAAACAAAAAAGCAACAAAUUUUGCGGUUUUGUUUGACAAUCGACGCGGUCAGAUGUAUUUAAAUAUGUUAAUGUCUUUUGCGUGCAUUAAGUGUAUUGGCAAUCACG